UACGUAGGGGGCUAGCGUUGUCCGGAAUCAUUGGGCGUAAAGCGCGCGUAGGCGGCCAGAUAAGUCCGGUGUGAAAGUCAAAGGCUCAACCUUUGAAUGCCGCUGGAAACUGUCUGGCUUGAGUCCGGAAGGGGCGAGUGGAAUUCCUGGUGUAGCGGUGAAAUGCGCAGAUAUCAGGAGGAACACCAAUGGCGAAGGCAGCUCGCUGGAACGGUACUGACGCUGGAGGCGACGAAAGCGUGGGGAGCAAACAGG
rnacentral:rRNA from 1 species